GGAGCUGGACGGCGGCCGGGAAGGGUCAGUCUGUGUGAGGGAAGUCUUGGCUUUAGGGGUUCAUCGUCUGGAGCCAGACGGGCAGGACCUUGGGAAGGAGGGCCGGAAUCAAGCUGUGUCGGCCCGGAGUUAAGGGUUUGCAGAGCUUGUAGGGCGUCAGAGCUGGUGAAGUCCAUUGUAAGAUGGGGAAACUGAUACCCAGAAUGAGACAGUCACUACCUCGGGGACGCACUGUGGGGGUUCCCCACCUCCAAGAUGGGUGCCAAAUGACGAGUAUCAGUGUGUCUAUUGGUGAGACUUGGGGAAGAUCCCAGACCUUAACAGCCGUUUGGUUGAGUCCCCUCACGGUGUAGCAGGUGAUGACCAACAAGGCAUCAAAGAGACAGAGUAGCUGAGGGCUUUCACUCCAGCUGUCUCGCUGCAGAACUUAGAGCGAGCACAAGCAAGCGGAGCGGCAGGCAGAAGGGGAGAGAGAAGCAGACUCCCCACUGAGCAGGGAACCCGAAGCAGGACUCGAUCCCAGGACCCUGGGAUCAUGACCUGAGCCGAAGGCAGGCGCCCAACUGACUGAGCCACCCAGGUGCCCCCAUUUUUAUAACA